rfam:Medicago truncatula strain A17 unplaced genomic scaffold scaffold0047, whole genome shotgun sequence.
AAACAACCCCCUAUGUUUUGGAUCUUUGUCAGUUUUGGCCCCCAAGAUCAAUUUUGACUUGGUCUUCGCUGACGUGGCACCCACAAAAAUUACAUGUGGCACCUCACUUAAUGAUGUGGGUGCCACGUCAACGAAGACCAAGUCAAAAUUGGUCUUCGGGGUCAAAACUGCCAAAGAUCCAAUACAUAGGGGGCUGUUU